GGGGAUUUGGCGGAAUGGUAGACGCAGCGGACUUAAAAUCCGCCGAUUGGAUAAAUCGUGAGGGUUCAAGUCCCUUAGUCCCCA
rnacentral:tRNA from 1 species